GCCGCCAUUUGCUCUAAUUACCCCGUGCGAACUGGAACUGGUAGCUGUCAGGCCUCGAUUGAAGCUUCGGGAAGGUUAGUGCCGGCUGCACGCAGUAACGUGUCUGCGAGCAAAUGCACAUACCGCAGCCACCAUUUGGAAGCACGCUCUUUUGUAUUUAACGUGUUGCAGAGUAUUUCAUGAUAGGGUUUGGACGGAUGCUGCUGUGAGUUCACAUUCACUUUUUGCAUCAUUUCCAGCAGACAAACAGAAGUGCUUUCAGCUAAAUCCCGAGUCCCUCUAUGUAAGUGGGUUUCUGGGUUCUGUAGAACUGAGCAUUUGGAGGUGGGAACUUAGAAACGUUAUCGUUUUAGACAAGUGUUUUGAGACAUCCUUCUAAUAAAGAUUUAUACAUGUGUACAUAUAUCCUUUUUGAACUGUUAAUAUGUAGCUUUUUUUUGAUCUAUGAAUUUCAAUUUAUACAUUAGUGUUUUUACAUCCGAUUUAUACAUUAGGUUUUUCUAGAUCUGUGAAUUCCGGUGUAUACAUUAUGCAGUUUGUUCAUGUUAGAAUGUUUACUUUCUCUUUCCUUUUUGAUUGGAAGGAUUGAGUUUUCUAUAAUAAUAUUUAAUCUUCAUGAAAUUUAGGUCUUUUAAAAAGCAUUGAGACAAGCGUGUUUUCUGUAUCACGGUGAUGAAUAUCAGUUUGCAAAUUUAUUUGGAUCGUACGCAAGUCUAUUUUCGUGGGUGAAUAACGACAGUGUUUGAUUUGACAGUUAACUACAUAUGGCACUUGGUAGGCUACCCCUGAGUCUGUCCCAGAUUGGUUCUUUAUUCACAUGGAUCACAAUCUGAAUUGGACAAAAAUUCUAGGUAGAGCCCAAACAGAAGGUGUUUAUUCCUUUACUACCCUGUAGGGAGCAUCUAGCUUGAGUCCUUUGAGAGCCAUGGCCGUGUGAAUAUGCUUACGUGUAUUGAUUUACUCACACUGAGAAACAUUUCAGUAUUGCUAGAUGUUGAUCGUCGAUAGUAGACAUUUGUUGCUUUCAGCUGUUUGGUAUCCAUUCCCCUUCCUGAAAACACCCCAGUUUCCAGUAGAACAUUGGGCAUGUUUGCACUAAGGAGGGAGCCAGAGGGUGCUCGCUCCCCCUCCCCCCCCUUCCCUGCCCCCCCCCUCCAUAGGAACCUUGAACUCCAGGGUGCGGCAGCGGGGGGAGGCUCUUCCUCAGGACUCUCCAGGGACCGGUAGAGGCACCCCCCCCCCCUCACCCCAGCAUGGGUCUGACUAUGUCAUUGCUGGUUGUGUUUGCCUGGUGACUGCCUGUCACCUUCCAGAGUCCUCGUUGAUUCUCUGAGAUUCUUCCAGAAAUCCCCCCUGUUCUUGUGCUAAUCAGAGUCCAUUUUAGUUGCUUAUCACCUUCAUGAGAACAUGGCUUGGCUAAUGAAGCAUAACCUUUACUAGGCUGAAGUGAAAUUUUAUUUUUAGUGGAAGUGUCCUUGUGGCUCCUACGGCUUGUGGCUCAGAUCCCUUCCACUUGCCCGUGGGCCCCGCCCGACAGACACUUGGUUUCCCUUGUAAUUUAGUGUUUAAAGAUAUGGUUUGGACAGGUCUGGAGAGCAGACCUGAAAGGCAUUUGUUUGCUGACUUGUAUGUAAACUCUUAGGAACUCUUCCCAGUGCCCCAGUAUUUAAAGCCAGAUAGUUGUUGGAUGGUGUGUGUUGUGAAGGGGCUGCUGAAAUCAAGUGUUCCCUCCACCUAAUUUCUGUAUAAUGUAAUUGAAAAAAUAAGUACAAUAAAUACUUUAUUUUCCCUCUUGUAAUUAUAAGUGACAGUUUUAGGGCUAAACCUGUAAGGUGACUGAACCGGAAGCAUGACAUUUUAAUAUUCAUCACAUAGAAUAAAAUAUACUGUUAUCAUUGAAGGCGUUGGUGUCCAACUAAAACUAAGGUAUUGCUGGAAGAAUUGUGUGUUGAAAAGAAACGGAGUGUUUUUUGCAGUCGUUAUGAACGAGUGGAAUGGAAGCUGUGUUUCUGUUUAGCUCUGUCACUGCGCGGUUUAGUACCAGGUCACCGUCCGACUGUCUCACAGCCCUCUGCAUUCGGCCGUCUGGGCAGAUAGCCACUCCGCUGGCCAAGCCGUCUCUUACGAAGGGGCUCGGGGGAAUAGUUUCUCAGACAUUCGGGAAGAGUGUAUUGUCUGAGUCCUGUCACCUCUAAGGUGACCCGGGUGGAAGAACGCCCAGGGGAGCGUCUCCUGUCACGGUCCGUCUUAUUCCCAGGCGUAGCUGUUGGAUUAUGCGCGGUGUCUUUGGAUAUAGUUAGACUCCUCGCCACUGAGCGAGUGUGGAGUUUUCACAAGACCUAGAAUGCAGCAGUGCCUGCGCUGGAGAGGCGCCCCGGCCUUCAAAAGAAGACUGUGACCUGGUGGCAACGGGUAUAAUUGCAUAAAAAUAGAAGCUUGGGGUUUUACAACAGUCCGCGUAUGAAGUGUCCCAUUCUCAGCGUGAACGUGUACGUGUGGGCUCUUUGCACAUUCGUGACGUUUGCAGACACUUCAAGUUUUGCACCCUUCCCAGUGCAGGAGUGAAUUAAGUCGGUGAGUUGACUGUAAGCAAAGAGGAUGUUUUCAUUAUCGAACUGUUACACGGGAUGGAGAGGCUUGUGGAUCGUGCUGGAGCCCCACUUAAUUCAAACCUUGGAGAAGUAGUGUGUGCUGUCUAAGAGAAAGAAACCGUGCUCUGCAUGAGGAAACCCUGAUGGUGAUAUUGUUAAGGGGAGGUUGGCUCCGUUGGUUUCUGGUCUGAUCCUCAUCCUACCUUCCUGGAGGGCGUCCUCAGAGUCAGCUGGCGUCGAUGUCUGAAAACCAGGACGGCGUGUCGCUGAAGCUGGGGGACGGCGGGACCGACCUGUGAGUCCAGGAUCAGGGCUUCUGGGCAGGAGUGUGGUAUUUGGGUGGAGGGGACAGAACCAGCCAUUACCACACUGCUGUCCUUCUAGGGCAGUGGCCCGAGGAGGAGGAGGGGAGCCUCCAGAGUAGGGAAGAGAGCAGGAAGGGGAGGUGGAGACAUUCACUUGCCUCUUCUCUGUGAACCAGUGUGAGACACAGGCUUGUUUGGGCACCAACUGGAAGUUGAAGGUGCUGAUCUCUUUAGUUUCAGCCACGACCAAGGAGGGAGGGUACACAUGCCCACCGGUAGCUUCUCAUCCACUCUCCGCUUGGGGAGCACUGCGGGGGCAAGUAGGUGAGGCCCAAAGGAAUUGGAAAAUGCAAGCAGCUGAAAGCACACAUAUGAAAACCUUGGAUUAUUCUCCUUGCCUAUUACGGCCAUCAAACAAGAACCAGACGCCACGCAAAGGGAACAGGUGAAUGGUCAAGGCAGGAGACCGGCUGCAUGCUGCACUGCGAAAGUUUGGGCGUAAACGGGACUGGGCUUAAGUCAUUUACUAACUGUGGCAGGUUACUCAUGAUGGCCAGCUACUUAGGUCUCUGAGCUUUCCUUUCUUUGUAAAAUGAGAGUGAUGAUAAUAUCCAUAUGCAAAGCUGUUGCAAAGGUUAUUAUCUUUGCCACCUUUUAACAACGGCUUUGUAAACUGUGAAGUACCAGAUAAGUGUUCCUUUCUCCGUGGAGUUUUACAUCUGUAAGCUGGCGAACCUUCCUAGUGUUUGCAUUACUGAAUCUAGGUCUUGGUGAUGCGUAGGUGGGUUAAGCUGACACUUCCUGUUCUGCUCUCAGGACUUAGAGUCGAGAGACCAGGAUGAUGGGGCUGGAAAUCUAGUUUUGCUCCUGACCAGCAUUGUGUUUCUCAAACUUCCCACCAAAGCACACCUAAAAAGGAACACGUGCGCAUAGGGUGUUCAAGCAGUCUGCCACAGGCUCAUGGUUUUUCUAAAAUCACAUUUUAUUUUACAAUCUGUGAAGUUUGCAGUCUAGCCUAAGCAAUAUUUAUAUUAAGUUGCAUAUACCUUUUAAGUUACCUAUCAGUAAGAUGUUAAAAAGAGGGAGGGGGUUCUGGCGAUUGCUGUUAACUUGGUGGACAAGAUGGGGUUGCCCUAGCCGGUGACUUCAUGUGCCUCUAGACCUAUGAGCACAUACACCUGAUUCCUGGGCCGCUCUUACUUGUUACAGAAGAGGAUUGACUGUGUCCUGUGUCCCCUUCUGGGCAGUUUUUCUGUGAGAGCCCAUGUAACAGAUACUGCAAGGAACUCUUGACCUGAUUACAAAAUCAAAUUAUACAACACACUCAUUCUUACAAAGCAGUUUCUACGUAUUGUGUAAUUCUCAUCCUUAUAGGUCGGUCACAGAGGACUUUGCUCAAUAGAGUUUAUUGUUGUAGAGGCCACAAGUUAUCAAAUGUUACUUGCUUAAAAUAUUCUGGAAAGUUAGUCAUUAGCACAUGACAUUUCAUUACGGUGUCCUAUUUUUGUGUGUCAUUGUAACUUUCCAUUAUAAGCUUAAAAAUGAUGAAGGCUUCCGGUCAAGAAGGUAGGCUAGGCACUGAGCACUGUUAAUUGCUCUCUGUCCAUUUUAAAGCCUCAUCAGAAUGAAAGCACAGAAUGUUUAAAAACAAAAAGAGACGAAAGGUACAACCAUCCGCCAAUAAAUAGCAAACCAAAGGGAGAGAGGUCAUCAGCCAACGAGAUUCAACAAAGUUUUUGGGGUUUGGGAGAUGAGACGGGUUGCAAAGCGCUAGCCUGUGUGUAUUGCCAGGGGGCCUGUGCAGAUGCGGGAGGCAUUGUCCCCUGCAGGGGCUCAGAGUCAGCAGCUGUUUUAGAGCUUAGAAACUUAGACAUGAGGUUUCCCAAAACGAGGUACAGUCGAAGGGCCGGGUGUACAAUUGUCGCCCACCCCAGUCCCCCACACCCCACCCUCCCACCGCAGGUGUGCGCACUCCUGGAGGCAGAGGCCGCUGGUGUGCAAGGUCAGGCAAAAUGGGCAAAAGCCGAUUCUUCCAUAGAUAGGAAACUAACUUCAGAAAAUAGGACUUCUGAUGGGGAGUUUGGUUCCACUGCAAAGCCCUCCUCCUUCUUUGGGGUCUGCUGCUCACCAAUCAGGUUCUUUUCUGCCUAUGCCAAGUAAAGCCUAUCUUGGUCACACAUAAGCUCAGAAUUUCCAGUCAGAGAAGAGGCCUUCCUAAAAUACCCAGUGACGCAAGAGUGGAGGAGAGCGACUCCCGUUCUCCUGUGUUCCCGUCUCUAGUGAACAUACAGACCCACGGGUCAUCGAGUGUAUGACACUUGACACAUGAAAGAAAAAGGUGGGCCUUAAGGAGAAUGGCUAAUGCAGAAGCAAUGAUAUUACAUAAAAGGGCUAUUAGAUUCAUUUUUAAAAAGAAUUGCUGAAAUGGAAAUGUCAGUAAAAAAAAUAUGAGGGAAUAAAGUGAAGUAAUCUUCCCAAAAAUGGAGAGCCAAGACCAACAAAAUGCAAGAACAGAGACAUGAGAAAUGAACCUGUGAGGUUUGGUAUUUGGCUUAAUAGAAGUUAGAGAAAAAGAAAGAGAGGAAAUUAUCAAAAAAGUAAAGGAAGAUAAUUUCCAGAGGCAGGAGAGGUAUGUGUCUCUGUAUUAAAGGGACCCACCGAGAUCCAGCAUGAUUAAUAAAAACAAGACACCCGUGGGUAUGUUUUUGUGAAAUUUCAGUGCUUUAAGGAGGAAGGUAAGAUUGCAAAAAUGUUCAGAGAGGAAGAAAGACAAGUUCUCCAUGUGUGAAGGAACGUCAGACUGGCGUCAAAGUGUUCAUCAGUGGUACUGGAUGCCCUAGGUAUUGCCCACGGGAUCCGAAGGUAAACCGACUCAGUUCAGUAUCUGACAAACUACUGUUUGUUGUGACAGCAGAAUAAAGACAUACUGAGAUGUACGAGGACUAGAUAAGGUAGCUUCCCAAGGACCCUUCUUGAGAAGAUGGUUGAGUGUGCACCCCAGCAAAACGGGAGAGUAUCCAAGAAAGACAGCCUUGGCCCUCAGGACACGGAGUAACCAACCUACCUGAGCAGCCAGUGCAAGAGCACCGGCUGUGAACCAGGUCCAGACGACAGCGUCCGAAGUGGAGCUGGGGCACAAGGCUUCUGAGGGCCCCCCCAGCCCUGCCUUCCGAGACUUAGGAAGAAUUCCAGUUGGGGCCUGUCAGAAGAAAGGCCAUGGUUUUAAGUGAUCAGUGGGAAAAGUAGGUCCCCUCAGUCCUAAAACUAGAAUUUUUUUAUUCUUGGAGUGGUCAGGAGGUCACGCCGUUGCAUUUGUUUGUAAAGAAUUCAAUGUAAUUUUGACGCACCCCUUUGCUUGGCAUUAAAUGAUACGUAUAUAUUGUAAUGUAGAUGCUGGUUGUGGAUUGUCAACAUUUAGAACAAGUCUGCGACACGGAAGGUUUGGGUGCUGUUUACUUCCAGGUAUGAAUGGUUACCGUCUUCACACUAUUAGAGGAAAAGUGUGGCGACUCCAGCAUCCAGAGCCGGCUUGUCAGAACGGGAAUUUGUAUUCCGUUUACUUAAAAUCGCAGUUAGUAUUAGAAGGGCUCAAAAUUGAGAGUCAUAGUUGAAGGUCGGUGAAGAUGAGUUAAAUUCUGAUUUUUAAAUCUAGGAAAAUCAGUAGACGUUAUGUAAGGUUAUUCAACCUGGAAACCUAAAUAUGUUCAUUUUUUUGAGUUGUAGAGAUAACUGUCAGAGGAACAAAAAACGGUCAAAUUUUUUUCUGGAGAAUGGGACUCAGGGUGGGCAGGAAGGGUGGAAACACAUAAAUUCUUUUGUGUUAGAUUUGUUCUACAUGUGCAUAUUUUGAGAAAACAAAACAUUUAAAAAUAUUUCCCAAUUUAGUGUUUCACUAAUCCAGACCUGUAGUGAAGUUUUACCAAAGAGACUAAACCGUUUAAGUAAUUGACUGAAUUAGUGUGACAGUGACCUUAGCAAACAAAGUAAUAUGAAACUUUCGCUUUGCUCCUGGCUUUUUAAACUGAGUCAUCACUUUGGACCACAACAACAGCAACAACAACACAUUGAGUGAGUAACUCUUGUUUCCAUUACUAACCCUAACAGUUUUUCCCCCUGAAAACAUUUGUGCUUCUGUAACUGUCAGUUGUGCGGAUAGCGUAUAAGCAAAUUCAGCCUACUUUUAUUGUAAUAGAUUCGAAUUUCAGCCCAGAAUCCGGUAGACUGAGUACGCCGAUGACAAAUAAUAUCCUGUUUGGUAAGCAAGGUGUUGGGAGUGAGGAUGGGCCACAAGGUCCUUUCCAGGUUGACUCAAAAGGGAAGAUGUGUUUGCAGUCCUGGUGCUGUUCGUUCUCCAUUCCGAAGAUAAACCUACGUCACGUUAACUAGAAAGAACAUGUGGAUAACCUCAAAACGUAGACACACUGUGCAGAAACAUCAGCACAACCAAAGGGCCUCCAAGCACUCAGGAAAGACAUCUGUUGCCAUGGCUGUACAUUUCUUAUGUUCCCUUACUUGGGAUUGAUGAGUCCCACUUGUCCCUCCCCAAGCAGAGUUCUCGUCGGGGCCUUCUUACUUUGUGACUCUUUCCAAAAGCUGGAUGUAUUCCCUCAUCCUGGCCCAAACAACUUCUUAUGCACAAAAUAGGCAGCUGGCCCGCAGGCCACGGUUUGCCAGUCUUUGUUACAGUAAUUAAGAACAUGGACUCUGGAACUGGACUACCUAGAUUUGAAUCUUAGCUUCCCCACUAAUUGUGGGACUCAGUUUUGUCAUCAUUAGCCGAAGCUCGUGGAAGUACCAACACCACACUGUUUUGUGAGAGUUAAACGACGUAACAUAUGUAAGGUGGUUCAGAACAGUGCCUGGGCCAUGCACCUGCCCUUUACGUUUGGCUGGUAUUUGAAAUAGGGCACGAGUGGCUGUUAAGUUGACUCUCAUGUGCUGACUUACCGUGGUGAGAGUCCUGGAGGCCACCUCUAUGUUCGCUGGAAAUAAUACUGUCUAAUUAACUGUGUUUGAGGGGAAAAAGACCAUGGCAACCAGCCCAGGUCUUUGCUACUUCUUGUAAAUGACCCUUCUAUCCUCAAGUAACCUCUCCGUGAUUAGGAAUAUAAUGCUCUGUUAAAAUGUUGCUUUUGGGAAGUAGAUUCAACGCAAAUUGUCUCAGGUUACACUAAAUUUUAUAGGAACGUGACUAAUACAAAUUUAAGGCUGGCAGGCAAUCAGUAUACGAAGUACCCUUUAAAGAUAUUUCAGGUAACUGUGAUGUAUUUUGAUAACAUUUUGCAAAAAAAUAUAUUUAGAGAACUAAGGAGUACGUUGAAAAGUAUGAACCCAGUGGAAUAUAAGCCGGACAUGCUUGUAUUUCUCUUUACUUUUGGCCUUACUGAGCUUUUUAAAAUCUUCUUUUCCAUCUGCUAAUGAAUUCUCGAUUGAUUCAGUAACUUUCUAGUCACUUUUUGUUUCUUAUAAGAGAAAGACUCCUCUCAGUUUAGCUCAGUUCAAAGCUUCAGUCGUAUGUCCAGUUCAGAGUGUAUCCUUGUUCUGUUUCUAGCCACAGUGGGAGUAACAGAGACCAGAUUUCCUUAAAUAAACCACCUUAAAUAAACUAGAAACUUGGGCAGAUAGAUGAAACAACUGGAUAUAGAUAGUACACUAUCACUAUAGAUUGUGAUCCUGAGAUAAAACAGUCAAGGAAAGCCCUAAAAUCACCGCAGCUUUCUUCCUAGAGGCAUUUUCUAGACUCCAAGAAGUAAAACCCAAGCAGUCUGAAAUGGUCUUAUGGGAAGCUGAAAUGGAUUAAGCAUGUGGGGAACAGUACAGGAGAGGAAGUGAUUACACAGAAGAAUAACUUCAGAAACGGGUGACCUUGAGUUUGUUGCUGAAUACUAGGAUGUGCUUUCAUAGGCCAGAUGGAGAAUGACCAGGUAACUGGUCUAAUUAACUAAUUAAGAAGAAUAAUUCCCAGACUUCAUAAAGAGAGACUGGAAAAGUUCCAAAUUCUGAGAGGCUUUGUAGGACACACUCUGAAUUAAGUGGAUAUCUGGAAGGAUUAUGCUGUAGGAGGGCCAAACUAGCCGUAAAAUAACAAGUUUUCUACACCUGCCCUAACAGAGCUUAAAAACAAACCUUGCAAAGACCCACCAGUUUUGCAAAGAACUUAAUUGCCUGUGGUACAAAGCCCAAUAUGCUUUAAAGGAAAACAACAAAAUGUGGGACACAACUUAGUCAAAUAAUGUCUAGCAACCAAUCAAAUAUUAGUAGACACAAUGAAACAGAAAAAAAUGUGAUGCAGGAGAAUAAGCAGUGAACAGAAAGAAACAGAUUACAACAGAGGUGAUGGAAUUUGCAGAAAAGGACUUCAAAACACUUGAUUGUAUUGGUCCUUAAGGAUUUAAAAGAAAAAUGAGCAUAAUGAGAGAAUUGCAAGGUAUAAAACAGAACCAUGUAGAACUUCAAGGGCUACGUAUUACAGUCUCUGAAAUGAAAAAAAAAAAUGGCAGAAUUAAUAGCAGAGUAGAUAUUACAGAAGAAAAGUUAGUGAAUUUGAAGACACAGAAGUAGAAAAUCAAAACCAACGCACACAAAGAAAUGAAAAGUGUAGGAGCACCUGGCUGGCUCAAUCCGUGGAGUAUGCAACUCUUGAUCUCAGAGUCAUGAGUUCAAGCCCGAUGCUGGGUGUAGAGAUUGCAUAAAUAAAUAAAACUUUAAAAAAUGGUUUUUUUUAAGGUUUAAGAAAAUGAAUAGAACCUCAGUGUCCUGUGGAGUAGUAUCAGGUGGUCUAAUAGAUUUUACCUGCAGUCACAGCGCAGUGCAGGUGGGGAAAGAAGAAAUACUUGACAAAAGAAUGACCAAAGUGUUUUCAUAUUUGAUAAAAACUAAAGCUCUUUAUUGUAUCUUCUGUUCUUUGCAUCUAAGAGCUAUAUACUGUCAUUGGGAUAUUUAAAAAUACUCAUUCAUAUCAUUUCCUGUUAGCUUUAUUCUCACAAAACUCUAUUUGAGAAAGGCUACUUGAGAUCAACCACUAAAAGAACUUUACAUACAACGAAUGAGCCAGUAGUGAAGAUAAAAUGGAAUACUUGAAAGUGAUCAAUCUUGGAGACAGUAAAAGAAGAACAAGUAAAGUCAGAUGAGAAAAAUGGAAAACACAAAUCAAGAUGGUAAAUUUAAACCUAACCAUGUUGGUAAUUAUAUUUCAUGUAAAUUUUUCCAUACAGUGUAAUUAAGAAGCAGAGACUGUCAGAGUGCUUAAAAAAGUAAGCCUCAUUUAUAUGCUAUUUAUAAGAGACACACUUUAACACCCAGGGGUGCCUGGGUGGCUCAGUCUGUUAAGCAUCUGAUUCUCGAUCUGGCUCGGGUCACGAUCUCACAGUUUGUAGGUUCGAGCCCCGUGUCCGGCCCCACGCUCACAAUGCAGAGCCUGCUUGGGAUUCUCUUUCUGCCUUUCACACUCCAGCCCGUGCUCGCUCUUGCUCUCACUCUCUCUGAAAGUAAAUAAAUAAACUUAAAAAAACACGCACACACUUUAAAGAUACAGAUAGGUUAAAACGAAAAGGAUGGAAGAAGAUAAGCCGUGCUAACGGUAUGAGCUUAACAUCCCAUAAAACUAGGCUUCAGGACCAGGAAUCUUAACCAGUCAUGGAGAGACAUUUCAUCGUCAUGCAAGAGUGAAUUCAACAAGAUGUAAAAAUCCCGAACCUGCAAGCGAGUAUAAUAACACAACUUCAAAACACACAAGGCAAAAUUUCUUAGAACUAAAAGGAAAAAUAAAGAAAUCCGCUAUUUUUGCUGUAGAUUACAUAGUUGAUGGAGCAAAUGGAAAGAAAGUUAGUGGGGAUAUAGAAGACUUGAACUUCACUAUGAAGUAAGUUGACCUAAUGGAUCUUUUCAGAGAACUCUACCCAACAAUAGAAUUCACAUUCUUUUGAAGCUGUACAUGGAGUAUUCAUCAAAAUAGAAAUAUGGGAGGGGGGCCUGGGUGACUCAGUUGGUUAAGUGUCAGACUCUUUGAUUUUAGCUCAGGUCAUGAUCUCGCGGUUUGUGAGUUUGAACCCCGUGUCGAGCUCUGUUCUGUCAGCAUAGAGCUCACUUAGGAUUCUUUCUCUGUCCCUCCCCUGCUCGUGCUCUUUUUCUCUCUCAAAAUAAAUAAACAUUUAAAAAACCCAGAAAUCCCUAAAAUUCUAAAAAAAAAAAAAAAUUAGAAAUAUGGGAGUUAAAUAUAUAAACUAAAUCUCAAUAAAUGUUAAUUUAAAUUUGAAAGAUUGAAAUAAUACAUACUGUAUUCUCUUACCCCAACAGAAUUGAAUUAAAAAUCAGUAACUGAAAACUAUAUGGAAGUUUCCAAAUACUUGGAAAUAAAAGAAUAUACUUCAAAGUACACCUGACAGUCAGUGAAGAAAUCACAAGAGAAAUAGGAGAUAUUUUGAACUUAGUGAAAAUGAAAACAACAUUAAAUUUUAUGUGAGAAAGUAAUGCUUAAAGAGAAAUUACAGCUUUAAAAGCUUACAUUAGAAAAAAAGAAAGAUCUAGGACCAGUGAACUAAACCUCUAUUUUCAAUAGCAGGGAAUUAGUUUGCUAACUAACUUGAAUAUGAAAACAAAGAGCAGGGAAUUUAUUAGUGAAGAAGGACUAUGCGCAAACAAUACAGAAAACUCAAUAAAACCAGGGGCAAAAAGGGAAAAAAAAAUGUUUAACAGUGCUAGCUAACCUGAUAAUUAAGAAACAAACAAAAAAAGGAAGACCUAAAUUAUCAAUAUUCUGAUUAGAGGAUAGGCCAUCACUACAAAUCCUAUAGCUAUUAGAGGAUAAUAAAAAUAUCAUGCAUGACGUUAUGCCAAGAAAUUCACCAACUGGAAAGGCCUAUGAGAACCCAAACCUGAUACUAGAAGAAAUAGAAAAUCUGAAUACUUCUGUAUUUUUUUUAAGAGGGUGAAUUUGUGAUUAAAUGCUUUUCUUAAACCAAACGGUGGGCCCAGAUGGCUUCACUGAUGGAAUCUAUCAACCUUUUAAGGAAGAAACACUAGCAAUCUUACCUGAGUCCGUUCAGAAAACACAAGAGGGGAGAAUAGGUCUGGACUUAUUUUAUGAGGUCCUCAUUACUUUCUUGCCAAAUCAGAGAAAGGUGGCUAAAAGGAAAGAAAUCUACAGACUAGUAUCCCUCGUGAAGACAGAUGUUAUGAUUCCUAACAAUUUCAGCACAUCAGACCCAGUAAUCUGUAAACAGGUAAGUUGGGUAUGGGAGGUACACCCUCACAGGAGCCCCUGACGGAUGUGCAUUCAGGAACAUUACUGUGAGCGCUGGAAGGAGGGGCUGCGGGAGGGAGCUUCUGCUUCUCGGCACCGGGAGCCUGCGGCUGUAUUUCUCCUUGUGUCUUUUGCUUUCUUGUGUUUGAAAUGCCAGCGGGCUGGGGCUAGAGGCCGGGGAGUGGGGGGGUCAUGACUGACUCGGGCGUCACUGAUGUCACGCUACAUGGUAGGAGCUUGAAGACCUCCGUCUGGCCGUGCUCCUGCCACUUGUUUGUUGCACGCACCCUCGCUCUAUCACUUACCCACCCCGAUUAAAUUGUGUCAAAGCGUAUUAAGUGCCAGGGGCUGUUCUGGGCACCACAGAUCCAGUCCUCAGUCAGUCAAAAAUCAGUAAACCUCUAUAGCAAAUAAAAAGAAAUUUAGAGAAAGAUAAUACAUCACAACUAAGUAGGAUUUAUCUCGUUUGUGAAUCCGUAUAAUCAUAUAAACAAUAAAAAUUUGUAUGAUCAUCUCAGUAUUUGCAGGUAUGCAGCAUCUGACAGAGUUCAACAUUGAUUCGUGAUUUUUAAAAAGCUCUUAGUUAAAUUUGGGUUUCAUGAUAACUUUGUUCCAGUUUAGUCCAGACAUGUAUUCUAUCGAUGUCGAGAGGUAUCUCACUGCUUUUUGUUUCCAGUAUGUGACGUCUUUGGUAACCCAGGUGUCCCCUACCCUUCGUGCUCCCGCAGCCCGUGGGGUUUGGGUUUCCGUGAGGUCGGCAGUCUUGCAAAGUAGUGAUGCCCGUGUAUGAACACGUAGCCGCACUCACGAUCGCCUCUGGGGCCCGAAGCGGGGGUUCUGGCACCACCCCACAGACUCGGUGUGAGAAUUAAGUGAGCUUACAAAGCACCUAGAACAGGGCCAGGCACAUCAGAAGCGCUAGGUAAAUGUCCCCUUGCUGUUUUAUGAAUGCUCUUUCACAAGGCACCGUUAUUCUCAUGUAACUCUCCCUUGAUCACAUGGUACAGUUUUCAAAAAUGACUUCUGCUUCUCUCCCCCUACCUGUCACCACCCCUCAAAAAAAAAAAAAAAGGGAAGAAAAGAAAGAUUGGUAGAUGGGUAGGUUUCCUCAACAGCUUUUGUGGCUCAGCUAGACACAGAAAACCAUCGAAAGGCAGAGAGGAUUCAAAUCCUCCCUUCAGAGGAGAGGGACGGUGAAAAUAGUUACGUAAGCUGCCCCACAGUGCAGUCAGAUCACCCCCGUGCCGAGGGCCCUGUGCAGUAUCCCGAACUGUGUGCUGAACUGAAGGACAGCUCGGGGCCGUGGGCUUUUCAGGGAAGGAAGGAGGCUCAUUGGGAGUUUAUAUCAGUGGAAACCACAGCUUCUGGCUUUGUAGUGAACACACGGUCAGUGACUGACUUGUGUUCUGCACCCUCCAAUGACUCCUCUCAGAAACCCAGCCACUUUGUAAGUAGUACAGACCCAACAGGAGUAAGCGUACAGGCACUCGCGCCCCAGAAACCCCACCCCUGUGCCGCUGAAGGCCCUACGAGAGGAGAAAGUUCCCUACUGACACUGGAGCUAGCUACCAGAGCUCGCUGUCCAGUCCUGGUAGAGAGCCCAGCGCUCGGAUGUGUGUUCGUGUACUCUCGGCUCCGGGAAGCCUGUGCGGCUGCUCCGGAGGGACUGGCCGGAGCCAACGGGCUCUAUCUUGCAGAGGAGUCAUGGCGGCAAGGUCAUCCAGCCUCCUCCCCUGCAAGAUGAUGACACUGAUUUACUACAGAGGCCAAGUGGCAUCCCUCCGGGGACCUCAGCCCCGCCCCAGACUCUGGGGCCGCAUCCUUGCUCUUAGGCCACGGCAGGGAUGUCGACGGGCUCAUGGCCUUUCCAUGCGCUGAGGGAAGUUUCCAGUUUGUUCACGAAUAAUUUCUCUUUAUCAGGCCUUUCUGUGCCUUCGCAACUCCCGGAAGGGUGUGUUGGUGUGUAACCAGGAGUCCUCCCGGUGGGAAAUGUGGACGGACCCCUUUCUGAGUCGGAGGACACAGAGCCCCUGGGUAGCUAGUCCCACAUCCCAGCAGUGCACGGUCUGAUAGGACGCCGGGCAGGGACGGGCUGCAAGAGUAGAGAGUCUGCGACUCGGGAGACCCCGGAGCCCUCAAGUUCUCUUCCUCUUAGUGAGAUGAAAAUUAUGAGCGCUGUGUUCCAGAGAGAAGAAAACAUAAUGAAUAUGCCUUCAACAUUUUGUUUUAAGGUUUUGAACCACCAGUUUAGAGUCAAAUACUUGGAAAACACGGGACUGCAGCUAAUAAGUCACGCGUCCUGCAACUCCCUGGGGGUACGGGGGACUCUGCUGUGUGCAUGUGUGGAAACACCGAGGAGGAAGUUUCCUUGGUAUUCCCGAGCCCUACGCCAGACCUGGCAGAGAGUGAGAACUCUGAAAACAUCCUAAAUGUUUGCCAAGUGAUGCAGUGACCUUUAUGACCCUGACAGGGCUGUGGUGAUAAGACAGCUUCUCAAGGAGUGAGAGGAAUGUGCUCACCAGGACAGGCUGUGGGGGGCCAGUGGGGUGGUGGGAUUUCACAGGAUGCCCCGGAUCACCAGGGGGCGGGUGGCCACGCGCCGCCUGCUUUCUCUGGCGCCGGCUGGUCCUUUUAAAGCUUCUCUGCCCUUCACUCUGGACCUGGAGACCAUUUAUCUCCUCAGUUUUUUCUGUUU